rnacentral:rRNA from 1 species
UACGUAGGGUGCAAGCGUUAAUCGGAAUUACUGGGCGUAAAGCGUGCGCAGGCGGUUGUGCAAGACAGAUGUGAAAUCCCCGGGCUUAACCUGGGAACUGCAUUUGUGACUGCACGGCUAGAGUGUGUCAGAGGGGGGUAGAAUUCCACGUGUAGCAGUGAAAUGCGUAGAGAUGUGGAGGAAUACCGAUGGCGAAGGCAGCCCCCUGGGAUAACACUGACGCUCAUGCACGAAAGCGUGGGGAGCAAACAGG